ACGAAUUCAAAAUAUUUUAGGCCACAAAUUAUUCAUCGAUGACAUAUUUAAAAUUUUUAUUGGUCACAACUCAUUUAUCCAUUGCAACUUAUUGAAUUAAUUUGUCACGACUAAUUUUUCGAUUACAACUUAAUUAUUUGUUAGUCACAAUUGAAAGUUACAGAUACAAUUUUUAGGUCACAUAUUCAAUUGAGAGUCACAGUCACAAUUUUCAGCACCGCCAACAUCGUUACCAAUGCAGCUAACACUGCCCCAAAUCAUUCCACAACCACCACACCAAACCAUUCCACAAUCAAACCACAGAUCAAAUCAUUCCACACCACCGCACCAAAACAUUCCACAACCACGCACCUCCGCCGCGCACACAUACACACAGUCGAUCUGCACAGGUUGUUGCUUUUGGUUGUAGUAGUGUCACACCCAUGCACAUACACACCACCGUUAUCCACCACCCACACACGUACAUGCCGUCGCAGCGCGCACGCCACCACCCACAUAACAAAUCCACAACAGAUCUCUCUCACUUCUCUCGUUGUCGAUCUACGCUGCAUCAACAGACUCUGAUUCCAGCAGCGGUGGCCGGAGCAAGUUCUUCAUCACCGGAGCAACUUUUUCAUUGUCGCCGCCCUCAGAUUACAAUGAGAAACGAGAGAAGAGAGAAUGGUGACUGGUGUGAGAGAGAGAGAGAGAGAGAGAGAGAGAGGAACGGGGCUUAGAGAGAGAAUGGGUUUUGUGGCUCUACUGGUUCUAAUGUAAUGGGGGAGUUAAUUAAGGAUGGAU
rnacentral:lncRNA from 1 species